rnacentral:rRNA from 1 species
GUCUUAUUGAAAAUAAUUUUAAGUCAAUCUGCCCAAUGAAUAAAUUAAAUGGCUGCAGUAUAACUGACUGUACAAAGGUAGCAUAAUAAAUUGAUUUUUAAAUGAAAUCUGGAAUGAAAGGAUUAAUGAAAUAUAUACUGUCUCAUAUUUAUUUUAUGAAUUUAAAAUUUUAAUAAAAAUGUUAAAAUUUUUUUAUGGGACGAUAAGACCCUAUAGAAUUUUAUAUUAAAUUAAUUUUAUAAUUUAAUAUAAAAUUUAAUUUAAUAUUUAAUUGGGAGAAUUAUUAAAUUUAAUGAAUUUUAAUUUAAUAUAAACUUUAAUUUAAGAAAUUAUCUUGAUUUUUAAUUUAUAAUUAUUAGAUUAAAUUACCUUAGGGAUAACAGCGUAAUAUUUUUUUAUAGAUCUUAUAGAAAAAAAUGAUUGCGACCUCGAUGUUGAAUUAAGAUAAAUUUUAAAUGCAGAAGUUUAAUAAUUAAGUCUGUUCGACUUUUAAAAUCUUACAUGAUUUGAGUUCAAAUCGACGUAAGU